rnacentral:lncRNA from 1 species
UACCUACUGUUUAUUAUUUUUGCCUUUUAAUGAAGAAUGAGUGCAAUGUAGUUUUUAAAUAGUUUUUUAAUAAAUACACAUUAACUUAGUGACAACAUGUGGCUAUAACUCAUGAUAAUGACUCUAUGAAUAGCUCGAAAGCUACUUGCGGACUUAGGAUUCAAUUAAUGGACUCCAAGAAUCCAAAGAGAAAACAAAAAACGAAUUCAAGCAAGUCAAAACGGCAUCAAGAACCAUGCUACACUCAAGUAUGUUGGACCUAACUACGUUGAAAUCAACUGAGAAAUGUGAAGGUACCCUACUACGUACCAUUAAAAACAUUCAAGAGGAGAACUAUACUGUUGCUGUUUAAGGAGCAUUUCUGGUUUUGAAUCGUCACGGUUCGUGUUAAUUUAGUGUAGUUUUAAUUGAUGUGACUGAACGGCAAAAUGAAAAGAAAUAGUCGAGGAAAACAACUGGUCGCCAUGAGUUUGCAAGAAAUGCAGAAACUACAUAAAAUGAAGGCAGCUAAAGCUACUGAACUGAAGCAUAUAAAAAGACUCGCUGAAAGAAGAUGCUCAUACUAAAAUCUACUCUAUGGACUUACAGAAAACUGUUUUGUUACCUAUGAUUCCGGAUGUAAAAGACUGACUGACUUUUUUACAAGUAGACUAGUGGGACUAAAUUUGACAUUUUGUGGUUUAAGAAAGGAGAGUAAUGAAGCAUCUACAUAAGUGCAUAGUGUGGCACGAAGGCACUGGAGGGCGAGAUGCCAAAAAUAUAGUUGACGCCAUUUAUAAGUUUAUUCAGAGUGAAAGAGACACUAAGAACUUUAUUCUAUGGGCAGAUAACUGCAGUUCGCAAAAUAAAAACUGGAUUUUGUUUACUUCUUUGGUAGUGAUCGUUAACUUGCAUGAUAUUGAUUCAAUUACCAUCAAAUACCGCACCAAAGGUCAUACGCACAUGUCGGCAGACGGAGUUCAUGGGAACAUAGAGACAUACUUAAAUAAAACAAAAAAUGUGUAUAAUUUUCAAGAUUACAAGCAAUGUCUCGAAAAAAGCCGCAAAAAUAACGAGGUCAUUGAAGUUCAAAGUGAGAACAAACAUAAAUGGGAGAAAAAAAAGAAAACGACAUCUGCGGAUCUCAAAACCUUUUUGCUGAAAAACAUCGUGGAAGUAAAGUUUUUGAAAAAUCAAAAAACAUUACUUUACAAGAAAUCGUUUGACGAUGAAGCCUAUGUCACGCUAGAUUUUAUUCAAAAAAAGUUUAAAGUUGACCAGGGUCCCAAAACAGAACUCAGUACCACGUGGAUUUCGAUCGUCCAAAAAACACGAAAUUAUUUCCAAAUUAGUACCGUUAAUGCCAGUCAAUCGACAAGCAUUUUGGCAUGCAUUGCCACAAAGUGACAAUGUUGGCGAUCUUAUUCGUGACGAAGCAUUAAUGCAAGAUGUUUAAAAUUAAAUUACUGUACCUACAUAAUGUUUAAUAAAUACAUAUUUACCUAACAUCUCUACAUUUACAAUCCUGCACUAACGAAGGUUUCUGUUUGAUUCAAUGGUUGACUGGUAGAGAACGCCUUAAGGCAUUAAG